GCUUCAUUGGGGGUUGAAGCUGUCAAUCUCUUUCCGUUUUCAUCUCAGACCAAUUCUGCAUCUUCCUUAUAAGAAGUGUAACCAAGACAAGAUGCCUGAGUCUUUGACCCAAGUGGAAACAGAUCACAUUUGAAAGGAAGGGCAUUCCAUAUUCUGGGAGCCACACAGAAGAAGGCCUUCUUCCACAUGCUUGUCAGAAAUUGCUGCUUUGAAGAUGACUCUUAAGAGUGAGGCACACGCAGAAAAGGAACCCAAUUGCUACAUUUGAGGAUGUGAGACUGGAUGACACACACCAAGAGAAGACACGAGCACAAAUAUGGGAGUGAACAUCGCUGAAUAUAAAAAGUCUGGUGUACAAUAGUUAAUAAAUCAGCAUGGACCCUACCAACAAAGGAAGAAGCUGUGCAAGGUCUCUGCCCACCUUUUCCAUGGUCAGGGUCCAUCAUAACCUCUGUUAGGAGAAUCUGGUUGUGCAAUGGAGCAUCCGAAGCUGUCCGUCCCUGGCUCUCUGUACAGUCCAAUAAUAACCUUAACAUUAGAAGAAACUUUAGAAAAUUUCCACUGAGUCAUGAGUCAACUAAAUAACAAAACAAGAUGCCCCUGUGCAUUUUGGGGAGCUUCAUCUAUGGCCAUUCAUGUUUCUGACCCACAUCUCUGAUU